rnacentral:rRNA from 1 species
GAUAAACGCUGGCGGCGUGCAUGAGACAUGCGAGUCGAACGAAGGAUCGGGCUUGCUCGAUCCUUAGUGGCGGACGGCUGAGUAACGCGUAGGUGACCUACCCCGAAGUGGGGAAUAACUGCCCGAAAGGGUGGCUAAUACCGCAUGUGGUCGCACGUUCAUUCGUGCGAGUAAAGCCGCAAGGCGCUUCGGGAGGGGCCUGCGUCCGAUUAGCUCGUUGGUGGGGUAAUGGCUUACCAAGGCGACGAUCGGUAGGUGGUCUGAGAGGACGAUCACCCAGACUGGGACUGAGACACGGCCCAGACUCCUACGGGAGGCAGCAGUCGGGAAUUUUGCUCAAUGGGGGAAACCCUGAAGCAGCAACGCCGCGUGAGGGAUGAAGGCCUUCGGGUUGUAAACCUCUUCUGUCAGGGACGAUGAUGACGGUACCUGGCGAAUAAGCCACGGCUAACUACGUG